rnacentral:rRNA from 1 species
GACGAACGCUGGCGGCGUGCUUAACACAUGCAAGUCGAACGGAAAGGCCCUGCUUUUGUGGGGUGCUCGAGUGGCGAACGGGUGAGUAACACGUGAGUAACCUGCCCUUGAUUUUGGGAUAACUUCAGGAAACUGGGGCUAAUACCGGAUAGGAGCUCCUGCUGCAUGGUGGGGGUUGGAAAGUUUCGGCGGUUGGGGAUGGACUCGCGGCUUAUCAGCUUGUUGGUGGGGUAGUGGCCUACCAAGGCUUUGACGGGUAGCCGGCCUGAGAGGGUGACCGGCAGCAAUAGUACUACGGUGCGGCGCAGAAGCCUACGGGGGGAAGCAGUAGUGAGUAUUGCACAGUAAGCGGAAGCCGGCUGCAGCAGCGCCGCGUGCGGGAUGAAGGCCGUCGAGGUGUAGACAGCUGUCGCCUGUGACGAAGCGUGAGUGACGGUAAUGGGUAAAGAAGCACCGGCUAACUACGUG